rnacentral:tRNA from 1 species
GCCUGGGUGGCUCAGUUGGUUGAGUGUCUGACUUCAGCUCAGGUAAUGAUCUCACAGUUUGUGGGUUUGAGCCCCGUAUCAGGCU